GGGGACCUGAUGCAGCGACGCCGCGUGGAGGAUGAAGGAUCUAGGUCUGUAAACUCCUUUUUUCAGGAAAGACUUAGGACGGUACCUGAAGAAUAAGCACCGGCUAACUACGUGCCAGCAGCCGCGGUGAGACGUAGGGUGCAAGCGUUGUCCGGAUUUACUGGGCGUAAAGAGCGCGUAGGCGGUCUGUUAAGUGUAGAGUGAAAGCUCCGGGCUCAACCCGGAAAUUGCUCUGCAUACUGGCAGACUUGAGGGAUGCAGAGGUUUGUGGAAUUCCUGGUGUAACGGUGAAAUGUGUCGAUAUCAGGAGGAACACCCAUGGCGAAGGCAGCAAACUGGGCAUCAUCUGACGCUGAGGCGCGAAAGCGUGGGUAGCAAACAGGAUUAGAUACCCUGGUAGUCCACGCCCUAAACGAUGGAUACUAGGCGUAAGGGGUAUCGACCCCCCUUGUGCCGCAGCUAACGCAUUAAGUAUCCCGCCUGGGGACUACGGCCGCAAGGUUGAAACUCAAAUGAAUUGACGGGGACCCGCACAAGCGGUGGAGCAUGUGGAUUAAUUCGAUACUAACCGAAGAACCUUACCCACUCUUGACAUUGAAGGCAAGACAUAGAGAUAUGUCCCUCUCUCACAAGGAGACCUGAAAACAGAUGUUGCAUGGCUGUCGUCAGCUCGUGCCGUGAGGUGUACGGUUAAGUCCGCCAACGAGCGCAACCCUCGUCUUGUGUUACCAGCACGUAAUGGUGGGCACUCACAAGAGACCGCCGGUGUAAGCCGGAGGAAGGUGAGGAUGAUGUCAAGUCAGCAUGGCUCUUACGAGUGGGGCUUCACACAUGCUACAAUGGGCGCAACAAAGGGCCGCAACACCGCGAGGUAGAGCAAAUCCCAAAAAUACGUCCUCAGUUCAGAUUGCAGUCUGCAACUCGACUGCAUGAAGGCGGAAUCGCUAGUAAACGCAGUCAGCUAUACUGCGUUGAAUACGUUCCCGGGUCUUGUACACACCGCCCGUAAGGCGAU
rnacentral:rRNA from 1 species